GAUUGUCAUGUUCUCUGGAUUUAGGAAUGUGGAUGUAGGAUACUCCUCUUUUAUAAUUUUGUGGUUACUUGAUGCCAGGAUAGGGUCUUCAAGACUGUAUCACUACUAAAUAUUCAAGCUAGAUUGAACAUCUUGUUCAUCUCUUCCCAACAUUACUCAAAUGUGAUAGCUGAUUCUACUGCUCAAAAAUAAGUGCAGUCGCUUUGGUAGAGUUUUAUGUACUGACUAUCAUUGACAGUUAAUCUCCUCCUUUAUUCCAAGGCUGUGGUUUUCCCUCAUCAUUCUUGUAUGCACUUUUCUGUUCACUUUCAUAUUCGUCAAAAUCAAAGUACAUUUUCUGGUAAGUAGAAAUAUAAAUGAAUAGAGACUAUACAUUAUU